AUUAAACGUCUGUCUAUUAAUUUUCUCCAAGGAAAAAAAAUGUAGAUGAAAAACCUGCGUAGCUUCUUCCUCCAAACUUCACACUUAGCUUUCGAUCGAGAUGAUUUCACAAUAAGGGUUACUUUGUAGAAUGUGGGAUGCCAUUAAUCCCAAAAAAAUGACGAGCUGAUCAACGUAGAUAUGAUAUUUAUUGAUGAAAAGAUGUGGUUGGUUGUUUAUAUGGAGAGUGCCGGUCUGAAUUGGAGAAAGAGGGACAUCCACAUUCUUACAGAUUAGUAAUUUUACUCAUCUUAUUUCAUUUGACCUUAUAUUAUACUUAUUUGGUUUACACCAUUUCUCUACAAUAGACAAUAAACAUUCUGAAUGUCCAAUUCAUGUAUUUUACUGGCAAAUUGCAGAAAAUAAAAUAUGAAGUAAACGAAGAAUUUCCUUGGAUUACUCUAUAAGAGGUCAAGGGAGAAGACAAACUAUGCCAUCUUGUGCGGAGAAGAUGAGUAACCUAAAAAGCAGAUUGUUUUCCGUCAUUGUGGUACUCUUCCUAGCUGGUCUAACGGAGGAGAACUAACAACCUGCACCAGCAAGAAAAGCAAAUUCUUUCUGCAACCAUUAUAUUGCCCUGCAGAAUACCCAUCAAAAUCUCCAAGUGACCCGAAGGCUAAACCAGUAUGCUCUACAUAAACAAUCAUCCAUGUAAUUCUUCUCAUGAUCAUGCUUUAUGUUUUAGUAUCCAACUAUUGAAUUGUUACAUCCAACAAUAUUAUAUACGUUUAUAGAUGUUUUCUUG